rnacentral:sRNA from 1 species
GAGUCAGUAAGAGUUCCUGCGGAAGAAGGAGGAAACAAACACACAGCGUGUGUUCGGAUAAGAGAGUUGAAGAGAAAAAGGAUGAGAGGAAGCAUAAAGGAGGAGGUGGGUAUGAAGAAGGCAGCGUGGCUUCCUUGGCACUGUCCGAGGAGGCAGUAGAAACAGCAGCCUUCACUUCCGCUUCAGCCUCUUCACCAGGCCUUUAUGCUCAUGAACUCACUCAGAAGACCCCGACCCAGAAUCCUUGGAGAGAGGGGCUGCUGUGCUGCCCUGAGCCUCCAGGAAUAAGGACCCCGAAUAGCUUGGUGUUUAAGUGGGGAGGACUGGGGGGGUGAGAAAUAAAGAGGAAAAGAGGCAGUCGCCGGGACCAAGAGGUCUUACAUAAACCAAUGCCUCAUGUCAAGGGAGUUUAUUAAGAAGAAUAGCAUCGUAAAUACUAUUUACAGGGGAAAACAGCCAAGGUCAGCAGAGAGCUAAAUAGGCAAUGCCGGCAAAGAGUACACAGGACACCUCAGCUGCCUUAGGACUGAUAACCACGACCGAGGGGGAGAAGUUGGGUCUCCAGAAGCUUCAGCCUUGACCCCUUUGAGGCGUUUGCUCCAGCCCAACAGGCCUUGCCACGUCCACUUCUGGACAAGGGCACAGAACUAAAGUUCCUUUUACCAGUGCCUCUAAGGACGUCUCAGGUCAGACUGGCUCCCACACUGUGCUCGUCAUGAAGAUGGAGACGGUUGGAGCUGAAACCAUGAAGACACGGGCAGGUGGCAAAGAGACAAGGCACAAGCUGUCAGGUACUAGGUACCGAUGAGAGGGUUGGGUCCCCAGCCUGUGUCUCUUCUCUUCCUUUAGGACUUUCUCUAGGGUAAGAUCUCUUCUUGUGCAUGGGGAAAACAUCUUGAUUUCCCUAUAUCAUUGGGAUUGUAUUGUCACCCUUUAAAGUCUCUUCUAUCUAUGUAGUAAGACAUGCAGUAGGCGUUCUUUGAGCCCGUGCAAGUUCCUAUCAUGCAACAACCAUUUUAAGACAGAAAAAAAAAUCUACAGAUUCCCCCAAGAAGUCAUGUGAGCAUGUUAAGGGCAACUAAGCGUGGCCAUUCCAAUCCACAGCACCAGAGCGUACAGAUGACCCCUCCGUCAGACAUUUUGCUGGCUUGUCUAUUUUGCUCCUGGAGGAUCACCGGUGCAGUCAUGUUAUAGUCCCGAAGUCCAAUAUCUUGUUGGGAACUUCCUUCCCUUUAUACCAUCUUCGUCUGAGAAGUGCAUUUUCAUAACUAAACAGCACGAAGAGGGAGAACUGGAGGCCCUUGGUGUCCAUUGACAUCACCUCGGAAGAUGGCUCCUCUGCUUGCCCGAGGGCCAUUUUGUUUUGGUCCAUUUCAAAAGCACACAGACUGGGCAGCUGAAAAACAGCAGUUCAGUCCCCACCGUUCUAGAAUCCAGGAACACCGAGACAGAGGACCCAGUGGAUUCACCACCUGGUAAAGGCUGAGUUCUUGUUGACUGUUACAUCUUCAUGGAAUGCCAAUGUGGAAGGGACAAAAAAAAAAAAUCGUCUCUGGAUCUUUUUAAUUAUCAGGCUAAGAAACCCGUCACAGGAUUCACUGGUUAAGUUACCUUCGAGAGGCAGGGCCUCGAAGUAAGAUCACCUGGAGGUCCCUUCAGUGCGGGAUUUGUGGAGAAUAACACCUGUGCUGCUCCUUUCCCACGUUGUACAGAACUAGAAGGUCCUGGCCUGGGCCGCAUGCUGUAUGAAGGUGCACUUCUCAGGGCUGUGGAAGAAUUAGCACACGGUUCUAGACACUCUGGCUGAUCGCUCAUUUGUUCGUUUUAGGUAUCUUACCCCAGGGGUUGUCUUAGUUACUCUCUGUGACCGUGAGUCCAGGUGGAGAAUCCACCGUGGUAAGGGCAGCUGCCAGCAGGUCAGAGCAGCACUGAGAGCUCACGGAGAAAGAAACUACAAGUGGGCCAACCCUCAAAACCUGCCCCAAGCAACGUGCUGCCAGCAAGACUCCACCUCCUAAAGGUCCCAUAACUCUGCUAGCAGCACACCAACAGGAGACCAAGGAGCCGGGUACCCGGCCUCUGGGGGACAUGCUCACUGAAGUGGAGCUCUUCAUGUUUAACCAACUACAGGCUCACCUCAAAUCUGGAGGGGUAGUGGUCAGUUUCCUUUACUUCUGGAAGGUUCUUAUUAGUCUUCCUAAGCUGCUGUAACAAAUCCCACAAACUGGGUAGUUUAAGACAGCGUGCAUUCUCUGUGUUCUAGAGAAAGUCCAAGUGUUGCCACUGUCAGAACCAUGCUCCCUGAAAAAUCCGUGAGAGACACUGCGUCUUGGUGACAUUGCCUAUCUUGGAGUACCUCCGCCUUGGCCUCCUCCAUCCCAUGGUGCCCUACUGUCUUUGUUGGCAUCUCCACACUUCUUGUCUCUUGUCUCUUUAGUUUUAGCUUUUAUUCAUAACCAUCCACAGGCCUCUAUAGUCUAGCUAGACGUGGAGGGGAGGGGGGAAAAUAUGGAACCAGAGAGCUGCAGCCGGAGCAUAAGGAAGACCACAGGGUAUUGCGAGCCGUGUGAGGAGGGCACUCUCCAAGACACAGAAGGGAUGGAUUGACCCCAUGGCUGAGAUGCACUCAAGUGCCAAGUACUGGAGCUGUCCCCGGUUGGCGAUGCGGUUCUUCUUGCUGAUCUUGCUGUUCCAAAGAUCCUCACAGCCUCUCCAAGGCUCACGCCUCUUUUGGCUUCUGAGAGACCACAGACUUGCCAUCCUACCACCCAGCGCCAUCGGUGUUUGGUGCGGCAUUUGCCACAAGCGAGGUUCUGGGACAGAAAGUCUCAGUUCCUAUUCUCAAAUUUCUCCACACAGACUGCCUUUCUGCCGGUGGCAUCAAGGUGUGGGACAUCUCUGCUCUUGUACGUGAAUCCUGGAAUAAUUCUGUAAAAAGAGGGACCCUCGUCCUCCAGUGCAAAGAACAGGAAGAUCUCUUCUGUCCUUGGAACUUUGCCAACGGUGAGAAGGGAGACUUGGCCCAGGGUCUUGCCAUCAACUGUGACAUCAAAGGAUAAUGUGGAUCUGACCUUGGCUAACAUGCGGCCUCGGUUAACGACAGCAGCUACAGACCUCUCUUUGUCUCACGAAUAAGCCAGCACGAUGGCUCAAAGACACACUUUCCUCCUGUCUUACCUCACCGUAAUGAAUUUUAUCUUUAAUAACUAUAUUUUCAUGGAAGGUCACACUUUGAGGUGCUGGGAGUUAGGACCUCUGGUUGUCUUUUGGGGGAAGACAACUCAAUCCACAAUGGACCACUGCUCUCUUAUUGCUGUGUAUGCCUCCUCUUCCCAAAGUUCUCUACACAGGUGAGGUAACUAUAGCUAGAAUAAUACCUGGUCAGGUAACUAUAGCUAGGAUAAUAGGUCCCUACUUGCCUGCAUUUUUAUUACCCACAGAACCAAUCAAUAAACUCAUUAUCAAC